AAGACACUAAUAAAGCCUGUUAUUAUAUUGCCUUGUCAAGACAAAAUCGUGGGUUAAAAUCCCACGUGUCUUA
rnacentral:tRNA from 1 species